ensembl:miRNA
GUAUUACAUUGUUACAAAAGUAAUUGUGGUUUUUGCUAUUAAUGGAAUGGCAAAACCUGCAAUUACUCUUGCACCAAACUGUAACAUACUU